UUGGAGGGCAAGUCUGGUGCCAGCAGCCGCGGUAAUUCCAGCUCCAAUAGCGUAUAUUAAAGUUGCUGCAGUUAAAAAGCUCGUAGUUGAAUUUCGGGACCAUCAUGUCGGUCGUGCCUCGGUACGUACUGGUAUUGUUGGUUUCUCCCUUCUGACGAACCAUGAUGUCAUUUAUUUGGUGUUGUGGGGAAUCAGGACUGUUACUUUGAAAAAAUUAGAGUGUUUAAAGCAGGCUCACGCUUGGAUACAUUAGCAUGGAAUAAUGAAAUAGGACGUUUGAUUCUAUUUUGUUGGUUUCUAGGAUCGACGUAAUGAUUAAUAGGGAUAGUUGGGGGCAUUAGUAUUCAAUUGUCAGAGGUGAAAUUCUUGGAUUUAUUGAAGACUAACUACUGCGAAAGCAUUUGCCAAGGAUGUUUUCAUUAAUCAAGAACGAAAGUUAGGGGAUCGAAGACGAUCAGAUACCGUCGUAGUCUUAACCAUAAACUAUGCCGACUAGGGAUCGGAUGAUGUUAAUUUUUUAAUGACUCAUUCGGCGCCUUACGGGAAAC
rnacentral:rRNA from 1 species